GGUGAAUGUUGGCGGCGCGCCUAAUACAUGCAAGUCGAGCGAACAGAUGAAGUGCUUGCACUUCUGACGUUAGCGGCGAACGGGUGAGUAACACGUAAGGAAUCUACCUAUAAGCGGGGGAUAACAUUCGGAAACGGGUGCUAAUACCGCAUAAUAUCUUCUUCCGCAUGGAAGAAGAUUGAAAGACGGCUCUGCUGUCACUUAUAGAUGACCUCGCGGUGCAUUAGUUAGUUGGUGGGGUAACGGCCUACCAAGACGAUGAUGCAUAGCCGACCUGAGAGGGUGAUCGGCCACAUUGGGACUGAGACACGGCCCAAACUCCUACGGGAGGCAGCAGUAGGGAAUCUUCCGCAAUGGGCGAAAGCCUGACGGAGCAAUGCCGCGUGAGUGAAGAAGGCCUUCGGGUCGUAAAACUCUGUUAUAAGAGAAGAACAAAUUGUAGAGUAACUGCUACAGUCUUGACGGUAUCUUAUCAGAAAGCCACGGCUAACUACGUGCCAGCCGCCGCAGUAA
rnacentral:rRNA from 1 species